GUUGAAUUUGGUUUCUCUCUGGAUCCAACAAUGAGCUCAUCAUAUUGUUCAAUCCAUUAUUUUGUUGUUGUUGUUCUCUUUGGGUACUAAAUCUCCCAUUCAUACUUCUUACUAUCUCCCCAACUCCAAGAAAGUCUCUAGUCAAUUGCUUCUUUUGAGGUGGACCUUGAUUUUGCUCAAAGUUCAACUUUGUUGUUGUAUUGUACCCUUCAUGUGAUCCACCUCCAUAAGCAUUGAUGAUACCACCAUCUGUAAUGUCACUACCAAA
rnacentral:misc_RNA from 1 species